CUACGGGUUGCUCCAGUGGGGAAUAUUGGACAAUGGGGGAAACCCUGAUCCAGCAAUGCCGCGUGUGUGAAGAAGGCCUGCGGGUUGUAAAGCACUUUCGGUUGGGAGGACUGCUUCUAGCACUAAUAUUGUUGGAAGUUGACGUUACCUUCAGAAGAAGCACCGGCUACUCCGUGCCAGCAGCCGCGGUAAUACGGAGGGUGCAAGCGUUAAUCGGAAUUACUGGGCGUAAAGCGCGCGUAGGCGGCUAGACCAGUCGGGUGUGAAAGCCCCGGGCUUAACCUGGGAACUGCAUCCGAUACUGUAUAGCUUGAGUACAGGAGAGGAGAGUGGAAUUCCACAUGUAGCGGUGAAAUGCGUAGAUAUGUGGAGGAACACCAAUGGCGAAGGCAGCUCUCUGGCCUGAUACUGACGCUGAGGUGCGAAGGCGUGGGUAGCGAACGGGAUUAGAUACCCGCGUAGUC
rnacentral:rRNA from 1 species